rnacentral:lncRNA from 10 species
GACUUUUAAUGUUAUCUUCUGUUGGAAAUACCCUUCCUGUGAAGUUCCCCUGCUUGCCAGUGAGAUUUGGAGAACUGACUGUGGCUUAUGUGUGCUUUAAUCUUCAGUGCCUUGCAUAGUGAUGUUUUUUGUUCCCAUCUCACAGAUUGAAUCCCAGGUUACUACGUGGGAACCGGAGAGACCAGGCUCCUCCCCGUCCUCCCAGUGCGCAGGUGGGCAUUAUUCAGAAAGAAUCAGCUGGGAAAGGGCAGGCUUCAUCCGG